rnacentral:miRNA from 1 species
UAAGCUGAUAGUUGUGGCC